AUGGCAACUACUCUGCGCGAUCGGCCUACCAUCAUCGGAGCCACCACCGCGCCGUUCUGGCACCCCAUUUGGAAGACUUGGGCUCCCUCCAAUGCGAAGAUAUUCCUCUGGCUCGCCUCCCUUAAGAGAUGCUGGACCACCGACCGGCGUGCACGCCACAAUCUACCUCACGACCCCCUUUGCAAGCUUUGUAGUCAGGACAACGAGACCCUACACCACCUUCUUGUUGGCCGUGUCUUCUUGCACAUAAUAUGGCACGACAUCAUGGCAUGGUGCCGCAUACCAUCCCUACCACCUGAUGGCACUACUGGAUUCUUCGACUGGUGGACGACGACGAGGGCUAGCGUGCCAAUUUGCCUACGCAAAUGGUUGAACUCCAUCAUCAUCCUCACCUAUUGGGCAAUUUGGAAACACCGCAAUGCAACCCUCUUUGACAAUGUUGCACUCUCCUACAACAAGCUCAUCGAGGACACACAACAGGAGGCGAAACUUUGGGCAAGAGUCGGCGCCGAAUUGCUCGAUAGAAUCAUUCAUGUAACAUAG
rnacentral:rRNA from 1 species